GGCUCUGUAGCUCAGUGGUUAGAGCGGGGGAUUCAUAAGCCCUAGGUCGUAGGUUCAAAUCCCACCAGAGCCACC
rnacentral:tRNA from 1 species